UAUUUCUAACUACGAAGAGUUUUCAUCACUACGAAUUUCGUUUUGCUUCACUUUAAAUUGAAUGUGACAUUGCCUGCGUAUUUUAAUUCGCUGUUUUACUAACUAUCGUUUUUGAUCUCUUGAACGAUUUUACACAAAGACAAUAAAAGUUGAAAAGGACUUUCAAAUACAAAGUUGUUGAAUUUGUAAAUAAGAAUUACGUCCUUAAUUUGCUCGAAGCAAUUUAAAUAUACCGAAUAAGCUUGGCACAAAAAAAAAAAAAAAAUAAUAAUAAUAGAAAUGUUAGAAAAAUACUUUUCUUAUAGUUACAAAUAAUAGAGCACAACAAAAUGAGCCUGAGGUCGCUGAGUGAGUGUCCGUACUGCCAAAUUGCCUUUACCUAGUUGCCCUAACCCAGAAAAAUUGAAAAAUUCCCUAUAUAUAUUAUCUCUGAAACAAGUGUUAGCAGAUAUUCCAGAAAAACAUAUAAACAUAAAAUUAUGGAUUUCAACUUGGCUUAUU